AUCGGAUAUUCUAUAAAACAAUGGUCUGCUUCAUGAGACAGUAUUAAUGAAAAGCCGAAAAUUAAAUGACGCCAUUAUUCAAACUACACAUUUUGGUAAAAUUACCAUCUUUGUACUGGAUUUUGCUGUUUUAUACGCUGAGAGUAACUGGCACAUUUUGAUCACAUUUUGGUCGAGGAAAACUGGUAUAUUUUUUAAAUGCCGAAAAUAGCCGCUGGGGGCAACUGGUCAAAAUCCAUUUAUAAAGUAUCUUGUCCGUCCGUGCAGUGCAUAUAGAAUAAUAUUGGAAUCUGAUAAAUGUAAUUGUAAAUGAUGAUACAAGCACAAAACGACGACGUAUACCAACCUAUAUAUAAUUCCGAAAUUAGAUAUUUUAUUGUUCGCGGUGUUACGGCUGGACAUAAACAUAUAUCAAAAACAAUGAGAAUAAUAAUAAAUGUAUAAUAAUCGAAUUGUUUGGAGAAGAAAAUAUUCGAAAGGAGCACGUUUUGAAAAAAAUAUCGACGUCCGAGAUUAAAUGCAAUUAAUAAUUACCCCGUUUCAUAUUAUUGAACGGCGGCGUACUAUUAUGUUAUGGCCGAACAAAUAUUUGGAAGUAGGUAUCUGUGUGAUCUGUGUCGUUUAAUCUGCUGGUUACUUUAAGUAGCUUCUCGUAUUCCGUUUUAUACUUUCGCGUCUCGGAUAUAUUUUGCUGUGAGCGGAUCUGUUGCAAUUUUUUCACCGUAUGUUUUAAUGUAAACUCAAAAAAAUAUAUAAAGUUGACCGUGUAAGUAAUGCUGUUUUCGUGAUAAUAGUAUAAAUAUUUAAUUAUAUCAAGUGUCUCACAUAUUAAUAUAAUAUUGUGUUGCUUAUAUCUCGCGAGCAACAAAAGUGUUAAUUAUCCGUUUUCGAAAUUUAAAUUUUUAAACGUCAAUAGGUUUUUCAAUCUACGUCUUCUGCUCUAAAAUUUAUGCUGAUAUACCACCAUUUACAGAAAAACACUCAAAAAGUGUUUUUUCAGACACUAAAAAUGCUGCCUUGAACAAUUAUUGUGAAAACACCAAGAAAUUUUUUUUUUUAUUCAGAGGCCGGUAGGUCACGUGAAACAUACACAUAGUACUUUUUGAAUCGGAUGUUUAAUGUUUAUACUCUCGAAAAUAUUAACUAACUCUAAUGUGUGCAUUUAUUCGCUAAUUAUUAUAGCACUGUAAUAUUCAAUAAAUAAAU